rnacentral:rRNA from 1 species
AGAACGAACGCUGGCGGCAUGCCUAAUACAUGCAAGUCGAACGAACUCUUCGGAGUUAGUGGCGCACGGGUGCGUAACGCGUGGAAUCUGCCCUUGGGUUCGGAAUAACAGUUGGAAACGACUGCUAAUACCGGAUGAUGACGAAAGUCCAAAGAUUUAUCGCCCAGGGAUGAGCCCGCGUAGGAUUAGCUAGUUGGUGAGGUAAAGGCUCACCAAGGUGACGAUCCUUAGCUGGUCUGAGAGGAUGAUCAGCCACACUGGGACUGAGACACGGCCCAGACUCCUACGGGAGGCAGCAGUAGGGAAUAUUGGACAAUGGGCGAAAGCCUGAUCCAGCAAUGCCGCGUGAGUGAUGAAGGCUUAGGUUGUAAAGCUCUUUACCGAGAUGAUAAGUGACAAGUAUACGGGAAGAAGUAACGACCCCGGACUAACCGUCCGCGCCAAGCAGCCGC